rnacentral:rRNA from 1 species
AAUCAACGCUGGCGGCGUGCCUCAGACAUGCAAGUCGUACGAUUAAAGCUCUCUUCGGAGAGUGUAUAGAGUGGCGCACGGGCGAGUAACACGUAAGUAAUCUACCUUCGAGUGGGGAAUAACAGUCGGAAACGACUGCUAAUACCGCAUAAUGCAGCGGCACCUAAUGGUGACAGUUGUUAAAGCAUUUAUGUGCUUGAAGAGGAGCUUGCGGCAGAUUAGCUAGUUGGUAAGGUAAUGGCUUACCAAGGCGACGAUCUGUAGCCGACCUGAGAGGGUGGUC